GAUUCUUUUAUUAUUGAAGUGUUUUUUUUAUAUGAAUCUUUAAAAAUUUUUUAAAAUUUUAAAUUUUGAAUUUUAAAAUUUUUUAAAAUUUUAAUUAUUAUAUAUUAAAAUUUUUUUAAUUAUAAAUUUAAAUUUUUAAUUUCAAUUUUAAAUUAAAAUUAAAAUUUAAAUUUUAAAAUUUUUGCUUUUUUUAAAAAAAAAAUUUUCUCGCGGGCGCUAGCAAUUGGCGGGCCUUGGAAGAGCUGAGCGGCCUCUCCGGAAUUCGCGGGCAGCGAAAUCUCUGUAUCUUUUAAAAUAAAAUAUUUUAAAAGAUUGAAUAGCCGAUUUAAAAUGAUCUACAUAAUUCAGACAAGCUAUGUAAGUUUUUAUCUAAUGAUCUUUUGUACUUAACCUUUUUUUUUCUAU
rnacentral:lncRNA from 1 species